GCUACUCGACACGUCCCAAAUCCUCAUGAAUCCCGGUUUUGAUCACUAGUUGCAGUGAUCACCGGGAUUCUAUGAAGAUCUGGGCUUCGAGAAGGCU
rfam:Pristionchus pacificus strain PS312 contig6183, whole genome shotgun sequence.